rnacentral:lncRNA from 1 species
UCUACUAUUCCCUAGGUUCCCUCACCCCUCUUUCAAGGAUGAGGUGGGUUCCUAAAGUUUACCCGAACCCCUCUUUCAAGGAUGCUUUGAGCUUUUAAGAGCUUGGGAUUUUCAUCCAUCAAACUCAUUUGGGUAUUUGGGGCUUUCACCCACAAAUCCCAACUAAUUUAAUCAAGCAAUAGAAGAACCCAUCAACAUUAACUAAGAAUCUGAGCUACAAUUAUAACCCAC